rnacentral:rRNA from 1 species
AUUGAACGCUGGCGGCAGGCCUAACACAUGCAAGUCGAGCGGAUGAAGGGAGCUUGCUCCUGGAUUCAGCGGCGGACGGGUGAGUAAUGCCUAGGAAUCUGCCUGGUAGUGGGGGAUAACGUCCGGAAACGGGCGCUAAUACCGCAUACGUCCUGAGGGAGAAAGGGGGGGAUCUUCGGACCUCACGCUAUCAGAUGAGCCUAGGUCGGAUUAGCUAGUUGGUGGGGUAAGGGCCUACCAAGGCGACGAUCCGUAACUGGUCUGAGAGGAUGAUCAGUCACACUGGAACUGAGACACGGUCCAGACUCCUACGGGAGGCAGCAGUGGGGAAUAUUGGACAAUGGGCGAAAGCCUGAUCCAGCCAUGCCGCGUGUGUGAAGAAGGUCUUCGGAUUGUAAAGCUCUUUAAGUUGGGAGGAAGGGCAGUAAGUUAAUACCUUGCUGUUUUGACGUUACCAACAGAAUAAGCACCGGCUAACUUCGUG